UUCCCAGACUCCUACGGGAGGCAGCAGUGAGGAAUAUUGGUCAAUGGGCGAGAGCCUGAACCAGCCAAGUCGCGUGAGGGAAGACGGUCCUAUGGAUUGUAAACCUCUUUUGCCGGGGGGCAAAAAGCGGUACGUGUACCGCAUCGAGAGUACCCGGAGAAAAAGCAUCGGCUAACUCCGUGCCAGCAGCCGCGGUAAUACGGAGGAUGCGAGCGUUAUCCGGAUUUAUUGGGUUUAAAGGGUGCGCAGGGGGGGAGUUAAGGCAGGGGUAAAAUUUCGGGGCUCAACCCCGACAAGCCGUUGAAACUGGCUUGCUAGAGUGGGCGAGAAGUAUGCGGAAUGCGUGGUGUAGCGGUGAAAUGCAUAGAUAUCACGCAGAACCCCGAUUGCGAAGGCAGCAUACCGGCGCCCUACUGACGCUGAGGCACGAAAGUGCGGGUAUCGAACAGGAUUAGAUACCCUUGUAC
rnacentral:rRNA from 1 species